rnacentral:rRNA from 1 species
GCCUGACGCAGCAACGCCGCGUGCGGGAUGACGGCUUCGGGUUGUAAACCGCUUUUCUGCGUGAAGAGGAAGGACGGUAGCGCAGGAAUAAGUCUCGGCUAACUACGUGCCAGCAGCCGCGGUAAAACGUAGGAGGCGAGCGUUAUCCGGAUUUACUGGGUGUAAAGCGCGUGCAGGCGGUUCUGUAAGUCGUGUGUGAAAGCGCUCAGGCUCAACCGGGCGAGGACAUGCGAAACUGCAGGACUUGAGGUAGGUAGAGGUCUGUGGAAUUCCGGGUGUAGUGGUGAAAUGCGUAGAGAUCCGGAGGAACACCAGUGGCGAAGGCGACAGACUGGACCUGACCUGACGCUAAGACGCGAAAGCAUGGGUAGCGAACGGGAUUAGAAACCCCGGUAGUCCAUGCCGUAAACGAUAUCUACUAAGUGUUGCGGGGUAGAACCUGCAGUGCUGCAGCCAACGUGAUAAGUAGACCACCUGGGGAGUACGGUCGCAAGGCUA